rnacentral:rRNA from 1 species
UUAAAUUGAAGAGUUUGAUCAUGGCUCAGAUUGAACGCUGGCGGCAGGCCUAACACAUGCAAGUCGAACGGUAACAGGAAGCAGCUUGCUGYUUUGCUGACGAGUGGCGGACGGGUGAGUAAUGUCUGGGAAACUGCCUGAUGGAGGGGGAUAACUACUGGAAACGGUAGCUAAUACCGCAUAACGUCGCAAGACCAAAGAGGGGGACCUUAGGGCCUCUUGCCAUCGGAUGUGCCCAGAUGGGAUUAGCUAGUAGGUGGGGUAACGGCUCACCUAGGCGACGAUCCCUAGCUGGUCUGAGAGGAUGACCAGCCACACUGGAACUGAGACACGGUCCAGACUCCUACGGGAGGCAGCAGUGGGGAAUAUUGCACAAUGGGCGCAAGCCUGAUGCAGCCAUGCCGCGUGUAUGAAGAAGGCCUUCGGGUUGUAAAGUACUUUCAGCGGGGAGGAAGGGAGUAAAGUUAAUACCUUUGCUCAUUGACGUUAC